GCAUUAAUGGGGUAGUGGUAACCUGGGUCGUUGCCAUCUCGAGAGCUCAUCUCGACCCGCCGGGGGUUCGAUUCCCUCUUAAUGCA